rnacentral:rRNA from 1 species
GCAUGAAGUCGGAAUUGCUAGUAAUCGCAGAUCAGCAUGCUGCGGUGAAUACGUUCCCGGGCCUUGUACACACCGCCCGUCACACCAUGGGAGUCGGUAACACCCAAAGUUGGUAGCCUAACCGCAAGGAGGGCGCCGCCUAAGGUGGGAUUGAUGACUGGGGUGAAGUCGUAACAAGGUACC